GUACACUCCUACGGGAGGCAGCAGUGGGGAAUAUUGCACAAUGGGCGCAAGCCUGAUGCAGCCAUGCCGCGUGUAUGAAGAAGGCCUUCGGGUUGUAAAGUACUUUCAGCGGGGAGGAAGGCAAUACGGUUAAUAACCGUGUUGAUUGACGUUACCCGCAGAAGAAGCACCGGCUAACUCCGUGCCAGCAGCCGCGGUAAUACGGAGGGUGCAAGCGUUAAUCGGAAUUACUGGGCGUAAAGCGCACGCAGGCGGUCUGUCAAGUCGGAUGUGAAAUCCCCGGGCUCAACCUGGGAACUGCAUUCGAAACUGGCAGGCUUGAGUCUUGUAGAGGGGGGUAGAAUUCCAGGUGUAGCGGUGAAAUGCGUAGAGAUCUGGAGGAAUACCGGUGGCGAAGGCGGCCCCCUGGACAAAGACUGACGCUCAGGUGCGAAAGCGUGGGGAGCAAACAGGAUUAGAAACCCGUGUAGUCCCAU
rnacentral:rRNA from 1 species